rnacentral:misc_RNA from 1 species
UGCUCCAACUAGCAGCCUCUAC